rnacentral:rRNA from 1 species
AGUAGUUUGAUCAUGGCUCAGGACGAACGCUGGCGGCGUGCUUAACACAUGCAAGUCGAACGGUAAGGCCUUUCGGGGUACACGAGUGGCGAACGGGUGAGUAACACGUGGGUGAUCUGCCCUGCACUUUGGGAUAAGCCUGGGAAACUGGGUCUAAUACCGAAUAGGACCAUGGACUUCACGGUUUGUGGUGGAAAGCUUUUGCGGUGUGGGAUGGGCCCGCGGCCUAUCAGCUUGUUGGUGGGGUAAUGGCCUACCAAGGCGACGACGGGUAGCCGGCCUGAGAGGGUGACCGGCCACACUGGGACUGAGAUACGGCCCAGACUCCUACGGGAGGCAGCAGUGGGGAAUAUUGCACAAUGGGCGCAAGCCUGAUGCAGCGACGCCGCGUGAGGGAUGACGGCCUUCGGGUUGUAAACCUCUUUCAGCACAGACGAAGCGCAAGUGACGGUAUGUGCAGAAGAAGGACCGGCCAACUACGUG